rnacentral:lncRNA from 1 species
CUUAACCAGCGUCUGCUCAGGGUGCCCAUCGUGGGGCUCAAACUCAUGAAACAUGAGAUCAAACACUCUACCGACUGAGCCCCCAGGCGUCAAGAGGGAGUGAAUCUUAAGCAGGGUCCACGCUCAUCAUGGAGUCCGACAGGCUAGAUCCUUUGACCCUGGGAUCACAACCUGAGCUGAAACCAAGAGUCAGAUGCUCAACUGACUGAGCCAUCCAGAUGCCCCCAUGGUUUUGGGUUUUAUGACAUCCUUAGAGUAGUUUUUUCCACACCAAGAUUAUACAAACACCCACCCAUAUUUUAUUCUAAUAUGUAUAUGGUUUUACUUUUGUUUAGUCCUUGAUCUGUCUAGAGUUUAUUCAUUUUGGGGGGGGGGCUUUCCCUUCAGUGCACCCAAAUGAGUGGGCAAUCAUCAUAUAAAACCAUCUUUUAUCAUUUAUUAAGGUCCCGUGUAUAUACAAUUGUAAGAUAUAGUAGAUACCAUGUGGCAAGCAAAAUAUCUUAGAACUCUUCAAGACUAAAAGGAAACAGCAAUGUGACCAUGGGUGUUAGUAUCAACAAGGAUGUUUAUACAUAGAAAAAGAUGCAGAGAGACGGGGGGAGGGUCCAAUGCACAGAUGACAUCAUAAAGAAUAGUAGAAUUCCAUUUGGAACUUCAGAGAACUUAGGAGAAAACUCUGACCAGCUGCUUCUGCACUCUGAACGCUGAAGCCUAAGUCACUGACUUCUUUGGAUCCCUUGGCACAAAGUCAAUUUUCAGAAAACCACAGGUCCUGGCUGAACAAGUUCAAGAAUUAUUUGGAGGAUCACAUCAAGAACUCCGUGCCUCCAGCAGCCGUUUUUGCUUUUCUGGUCAUCUCAGUCAUCAUGGGGAUCCUCUGUUGCCUCACGUAAGCUGCUGUGGGGUGAAGAGAGCGAAAGGGGCGUGGGGGAGAGGCAGGAACGGUCAGGUUCCCCACCAGCCUGCACAUUUAUAAUUCAGGGAAAGUUUUCAGGAAGGUAAUUCUUGGUUUAUCCAACCCACUCCAUCCAUUACCAGCGACUUACAGGUGACAUUGAAUACCCAGUGUUUAUAGCUGAUCUCUUUUUUCUAACUUCAUUAACUCCGUCUUUCCCUUUGGUUUAGGAAUUAUGCAUGGACAAUAUCUAAUUAACUAUGUGUUCAAUUGCCUGAAACUUUGCCACAGUAUUUACCUAUGUAAAUCAUAUGAAG